GUCACUGGUUCGAUUCCUGGCCAGGGCACAUGCCUGCGUUGCGGGUCAAUCCCCAGUCGAGGCACAUACAAGAGGACAGCCAAUCCAUGUCUCUCUCUCUCUCUCUCUGUCUCUCUCUCUCUCUCAAGCAGUGAAAAGAAUAUCCUCAGUAGGAUAAAAGAAAAAAAAUUUUAAAAAAAAAUGUGGACCGGUUACCUGAGAAAAGAGUAAUGAUGAGAACUGGCCUUGUGUACCUGAGGAAGAAACACGCUAGUUCAAUGCAGCUCCCAGCGCCAGAACCCGAGGCCAGCUGGGAGUGGGGGGGGAUAACAGGUGACCACACAGACUCAGCACAGAAAUCAACUUGUAGCAUUAUGAGAGGCAGCCGAUUCUCAAUCAAAACUUCCAAAUGGUUCCUGUAUCAGGUGGUAGUUUUAAAAUGUGUUCAAAGGUCCCACGAUUCUUCAUACCGUCUAUUAUAGGAAUAAACUUUUGAGUCAAAACCCAGGAAGUAGGAAAUAAAGGGGAAUGUACAGCUUCUAUUUACAAACACUUCUCUUCUCAACAGGGUCAGAUCCACCAGCAACCCCAGGGCCAUUCCCAACGGCAGGAGCAAACAGGGCCGCUGGGACAAAGCAGAACACACACGUAACCAGCAACGGACUUGGAAGAAACUCUUCACCUAAUUCAUAUUAACAGGCGGGAGAAAUGUAUUCAAAUCUAGUAUUUGAAGUGAUGGGGCUAAAAACG